rnacentral:lncRNA from 1 species
GGCCGAAAUUUUCCUCUACGGGUUUUUUGAAGUGUAAGAAUGUGACGUGCUUGUGAUUGUAUUUUUGAUAACUUGACAAAAUGAAUAUUUAUUUUUUGCUGUUUCUCAGUACGCAUUGCGAUUAUUCGGUAUUUGUAGAUGCACUUGCUCGUGUUCCGAGGCCGGUGGGAACUGCGGCGGUAAACCAGAACAGGGUGGCUGCGUUGGCGGCUCUACGGCUUAUCGUACACCCGAACGAUGACCAAGAUCCUUGCAUGGGUCUUCACAGGGCGGAGCUUUAUUUGCACGGAGGCAACGCGCAGAUAAACGCAGCUAACAAUCAAUGCAAACUGGCGAUGAAUGGCUUCAAUAUUUUGGUCAGUGACGGUCCGGUGCCACCGGGCUGGAACAACCCCUGCUACAUGGCCCAAGACGCUCGAUGCCUCAAAUUGGGCGCGACUGGAGGACGCUGGAGAUGCUCCGUCAAAAUCCCUGGGCCCCCCAGUGCUUUUUUUUCAAGAGGUCGUACACGAAAUUAAACUUGAGGUGGUGCGCUGAAAAUCUACCUAUCCCUAAUAAUUAGGUGUUGAGAUGGGUGCGAUGGAUCUAUACGGUGGGGGAAAGAGAGAUACUUUGGCGUUGCCAUAAUUUUAGCAUUAGUUUUUAAAUUUGAACAUUUUUUCACGUCUCGGCUUAACCCUCUAUGUCAUGAAUUAAUUUUGGAUCUCAGAUUCUAGGGGACACUAAUCUAUUUUGUAGUUUGCAUACAAAAAAUAGAGUACCAACUUUUUUUUCAAAAUGAUAAAAUCAAGGGAAUCAAUUUUUCAAAAAAAGAAAACAACUACUGCAAUUUUGCAAAAUCAUGGCACAGGGGAAAGAUUCAAUUUUUAAAUACCCCAAAAAUACGUUGUCACGAAUGCGUAACGCUAUGCCAUAGUCAUUAGUCAUAGUUUAAGUCAUUCAAUGCUCUGGCUUUAUUUAUUUAAAUUAUGUAGCUUAAUUUUUUGUGACGUAUAAGCAUGAUUUUAGAAUCAAAUAUUAAAUUACACAUUUUCACCAAAUUAGAUAAAUCAAUUGAUUCCAACCCAAUGGUUCGAUUAAUAAACCCUCUGAUUCCAAUAAUUUUCAUUUUUUGUCAUCAGGAAGCCAGAAAUCUGGUGGCUUGAUUUCUUGGUGACCAGUUGUCUAAGUUUCACGAUGGAGAAUUUUUAGGUGUCUAAAAUUUGAUGAAUAUCAUGUUUAAGUGGAAACUACUGAGUAAACUAAACCGAGAAUACCCAAAGUUCAUAAAUUGAAUAAUUAUUGGAGGAGAUAUGACAAAAUAACAUAUUUUGCUGAGAUACACGUGUAUGAUUGGAAAAUGCCGCCAGAUGACGUCAGCAAGCGGUGAAUAUUUUCCCUUUUAAAUUUAUUUUUAUACUUUUUCCCAUAUCAGAAAAAAGUAUGAAAAUACUGCGAAACCAGCUCUUUAGGCACUUUUAGAUGGAGCAAUACAAAAUUGGCGUACAAAUUCUCCAUAUCCUCCUUUUCCAGGGAUUUUGAACGAAAUUGAUUGACAGUAUUCAGCUCGAAUUGGUUUCUUUCCCAGAGUUCAGUUGCGAUCUUGAAAGAAGCCAGUACAGAAUGUUGAGUUGAUUUUGCUCUUACUUCUGUUUUUCGAUCUAUAAUUUUGCACUUUGUCUAGACAGACGGUUUCAUGCUAAAAUAAACUAUGUGCAUAGGGCUUGUGUGUGAGAUAGUUCCUUGUAGCAUAAAUACCUUCACAUUACAUGCAUUUAGUCGUGUGUCGUUACGGUUCAGUCUGAUGUUGGGUGAGUGGCCCGAAAAGAUUAGCUCUUCCUAUCCAUGUAUAGAUAUUAAGUAAAUAAAAGUAAUUCAUCAUAUGAACAUUCCAAGAUGCUGGAUUUUCGUGACGAUGUCCGCC